UUGACUGAAAUCCAAUCUCUAGAACAAUAGAAUACAGCAACCACUCCAUUUCAGAACGAACUUCGUACGAACCUGAAUUGUCCAAUUUCAUGGACCAACCUUGGGGAACAUCAUGUUGUGGGAGGAGUCAUUUUGUCAGUUUUGAGUGAAUUCCAAUGGCUAAAACAAUGCAAUACACCAACCACUCCAUGUCAGAAUAAACUUCGUACGAACCUGAAUUGUCUGAUUUCAU
rnacentral:lncRNA from 1 species